rnacentral:hammerhead_ribozyme from 1 species
GCACUGCUGAGGAGUCCCACAAUAGGACCAAAUGACCGUCCAGUGC